rnacentral:rRNA from 1 species
AUUGAACGCUGGCGGCAUGCCUAACACAUGCAAGUCGAACGGCAGCACGGCAGUAGCAAUACUGUGGGUGGCGAGUGGCGGACGGGUGAGGAAUACGUCGGAAUCUGCCCAGUCGUGGGGGAUAACUAGCCGAAAGGUUAGCUAAUACCGCAUACGACCGAGAGGUGAAAGCGGGGGACCGCAAGGCCUCGCGCGAUUGGAUGAGCCGACGUCGGAUUAGCUAGUUGGAGGGGUAAAGGCCCACCAAGGCGACGAUCCGUAGCUGGUCUGAGAGGAUGAUCAGCCACACUGGAACUGAGACACGGUCCAGACUCCUACGGGAGGCAGCAGUGGGGAAUAUUGGACAAUGGGCGGCAAGACCUGAUCCAGCAAUAGCCGCCGUGUGUGAAGAAGGA